ACCAUUGGAUCCCUCGGGUGCAAGUAUAACACAGUUAGCAUUUUAAAAGAUUGCAUUUGUCUGUACACUGCAGGCGGCAAUUAUGAGCAGGAAAAUCUUUUGUGAAAGAUGGUGUGACCUUCCUUUUGGUGAAAGAGUGAUAAUGGCUUCUUGUGGAGGUGUAUUGGGAAGAGGUGGCACAGGGUUUGCUGUACCGCCUUUCUGCCAGCUGAGCAACACAGAAACUGGCUAAUGAGCUUCAUCUAAUUUUGGAGUCAAGUUCACAGCUGCAACAGAGCAAAGAGAUUCCAGCUUGGACCAGAACCUCCAUCGCAUCUCCAUCAUGUCAAAGAACACACUCAAAGACUAUUGUGCUCCAGUUUUGCCUCUGCACUAUAGGGAAGUAUUGUUAUUGCAUUAGUGUAACACUGUACCUGAACUUGUGCUGCUGGCAUAGUUAAAAUACUCAAAAGUACAGUGUCAGGCCUUAAUUAUAAAGUCAUAAUUAUUGUUUUAAGAUUUAUACAAAAAAAUGUGCCAACUUUAUUCUACUCAGUAGGGGCUCAAUUCCAAAAACAGUAUAGAUUUCAGGAUAACCUCCAAAAAAAUGACUCCACAUAAUUGGUUGAGCCUAUAAUAUAUGUUUGUGUUGUAAAAUAAGAAUACAGCACAACUAGAGUACAAAACAUGGUACAACAGACAUGAAACAAUGUUCUUUCUCUGCAUUCUUCCCCACGUUCCUUACCAGUGAAUAUUUUAGCUCUUAGUUAAAAUACAAUUUUGGCAUGGGAUUAUUCAGUAAAAUUGCCUUUGAGAAACAGCCAAUUUUGAAAUACACUUGAGUAGGUCUAGACAGCAGGUGCUGCCAUGCUCCUGUAGGCUCCAGCAAAAAGCCAUUCUUCACUGUGUGCCUGAGAUUUGAGGGGCUGUUCAGAGGGGUUUUUUUCCCUGGGUAGUGCAAGGUCCUUAAAGAGCAUGGAUGGCAUUUUAACCUGUCAUUGGUGAGCUCUUCACAUUGAUGAAUGGGUGACUUUGUACAUUCACUGUGAAGGAAACACUGAGUUUGAGGUGACUCUGACCUAGUGUGUGAUGAGCUGCUCAGGGCUUCUGGUGUUGGAGGAGAUCAGAGACACAAGGAAAUGAGGUAGUCACACAGUCACUCAGACUUAAGACCAGCAUCCAAUCAGUACUCUGUCUUCAUAUUCUUAGUGGCCUUCUACAAGCAUGUGCUCUCUUAUUGAUAAAAUAAAUGAGCUGAAAUCAAUUUAUGUUGUUACAUUAUCAGUUAUUGUUGAGCUUUAAAAAAUAUUUGCUAUAUUUACAAAAUCCCUACAUUUUCGGCUUAUCAUUGUCCAGCAGAAGUCUCAAUAGCAAGAUGCAAAAUCAUUUUCUGUUUGUCAGUGGGAAGCCAGAGACUUGGUUAGGCUUUUGUGUUUGAGAUGUGGAAAAGGGGGAGAAAGGGAAUUCAGGAGAAUAAUAUCUGGAGUAGCAGAUACUUCUUGGCUCUCGCACCUGAAAACUUUCAUGUCAUUUAUAACCAUGUGGCAGGCUGCCUACAAACUGAAGAAGACAGUCACUGCAGCUUGUUUGAUAUAGAAUUUCCAGAAUUUUUCUUCACCACGCUCUGUUAGACAACACUGAUGCCACUGAAGUCAAUGUGACUUAGCAGUAAAAGACUGCAUAGACAGAUACUUAAUGCCUAUUUUAAAGUUAAAAGCAAAUGAGGCUUGUGCAGGCAGUCUGACUUAUAACAAGCCCUUGAGUUUAUUUAUUAAGUUUCAUGGGGAUUUUUCUAUUAGUUUUCUGAUGAUUCUGAUUUUGUAAAGAUUUUUUUUCCCCAUAAAUUCAACAAAAUCCUUGCCACUGACAUCAAUAGAAAUGAUAGUUAAACUUGCCCAAACAUAGGUUUUAUUUUUAACUUAACACAAUUUUUGUCAGGGAAGUGUUAAUCUGUUCCAGAGGAACACUGUAAUAAUCUCAGCAAGACAGAAGAUUUUAAGACAGAAGUAAUUGAAACAAAGGGAAAAAAGACAUUAAUCUUGCUGGGUGAACAUAAAUUAUUUACUUCAAUGGAUGCUUUUGUAUGCAGAGUCUUACAAAAUGAAGUAAAUUGAAAGGAAUUUAACUAAUUUUAUAAUUAUGAAGGAGCAUCUAGCUUCAAUAGCAAACAGAUGUAUAAUGUUUUAUUUUAAAAUACUGCAGAUUUUGAGACAGGCAUUCUAAGUAAAAUUCCAUUAAAAAACCCUUGAGUUUUUGCAGCAGCAAAAAGAAAAGAAGGUAUAACCCUUAGCAGACACUGAAAUUACUGCAGUUCUUAUUCAGUUAGAGGAGAAAAAUAUUUCAUCUUACAUAACUUACUAGAAAUUUGUUCUGGAAUAUUUGCAUAUUAAUUUCAUUCUUCUUCUGAAUAUAUAGUUUAACGCUUUUUUACUCCCCUAUUUAUCCAAAUUUACCAUUUUUGUAUUUCCAGUGUUCAGAAAAAGCUGUCUACAAGAACAUAUGGGUUUUGUCUUUUGCUACCUUGCAUGCAAGUACUAAUGACUAAUGACAUGCAAGUCAUUUUGAUAGUAAUAUUAAAGCAAUAAUAAUGAUUAUAUCUUAGAAUGAAAGGUGAUUGUUUUCAAAGAAAUUAACCUUAAGUACUUUAGUAUUUAAUAGGAUUACUUUUAUAAACUUUCUUUUCUAUAGAAUAAAGAUGUACAGUAGUAGUGGAAGAAGUAGUAGUACUUUGAAAAGAAAGCCAGGCACAUUUUUGUCUUUUUAUCAUUAAUUUGGUAUGGAGGCAAAAUAAAUUAGUUGACAACAAAACAAUUGUGAUCUAAAUGAAGUGCUAAUUUGGAAUCUUAAUAUACAAUAUACUUUGUCUUUUAAUUAGAUCUGUUUUCCUAAUUUAUGUAUCUAUACUUUAGAAUCAGGAAAAUAUUGUAAGUGAAAUAAAGUCUGUGUCUUACUUUUCACUUGCAGACUAGCUUUUUAUUGAGGAAUGCAGCCAGUAGAUUGUCAUAAGGAAGAGCUGUAAUGAAAAAAAUUUGGAGCAUAGAUAUCAUAGAUGUAAAUUUAUGAACUGUCUUAGCACUAAGGAAUAACAGGCUCCAAACAAAUCCCUGUAUAUUGCAAUUUCCUCUAGGGAGCCUCUCCUACAACCAUCAAAAAGCCCUUUCAGGUUGGGUGGACAGGAAUACUGUGCUAAUACCUUAAUUCUGUUGUGCAGUAAAUCACUGCUAGACCAGACACAGAGUCUAGCAGGUUGUCAUCAUGUGACAGCUGAACCAGCAAAGAUGGGAAUGAUAUAGAUCAGAGGUUUAGGCACCUGAAAGGUCAUAAAGAGUACUGGGGUGGGAACUUUACACCCUAGUUCAUGUGGACUUGGAGUAAAAACUAAGUCAGUGGUCUUGAUGUGAAACCAAGUUUGUACUGAAAAGUAUCCUAGCACACCCCCUACAAUUAAACCCACUAGAAAUGUCAUGGUUUAUUGCCCCACCUGUUGGAUUCAACUACUGCCUUUGUGAUGAUGGCAUUUGAAGCUGCAGGCUGCAAAGGGAUUAGGAAGCAGACACAUGCACACAAACACACCGCCCUGUCCUCUAUCCUCCACUUUUGCAUUUAAUACUUUUCCACCAAGAAUGGGAAACCAAUACAAGUGGUCUGGAAAACUAGGACUGGACUUACAUAUCCAAUGGCACUCCAGAGGCCAGAGGCUGAGUUUUGUCACUGCUGAUUGAUCCCAUAUAAUUAGCAUAGAUCACAAUAUAACAGGGUCAAAAAACUGUUGUGGCAUUCUUCACUUCAUGUAUACAAAAUAAGUAAAUAGGGAAAAUAAGAUUCUAGUAUUUUCUGUGCUGGAAAUAUUCUGGUCUUUUAAAGUGCACCAUCUCAAACUAAAAAUUGGUUGUUAGAACUAUGUUCUCCUAAAUGUACACAAAUCUUACCAUAUAUUCCAUAUAGAUUUGCUCUCACAUGCCAAAAAUGAGAACCUGUGCUUUCAAAAAGAAAAAAAUAAAACAGAAAUGUGCCUGAUUUUAUCUAAUGUCCUUUUAAAAACAGACCUAAAAAUAAGAAUGUGUAAAGCAGCCUGGGAAACCCAGUUUUAAAUAGGCAUGCAUGUUGAAAUUCAGAAAGGAUAUGGUUCUUAAGUUGCCUUUUUUACUUUGUCCCUGCUGGUGUAGCUGAUUGGGAUAAACUCUUAACAUAGGUAAGAACAGAUCUCAAGAUGAUAUGAAAUAGCUUCUGUCAAAGAGUUAGCUGGGUGUCACCGAGACACAAUAAAACCCUACUAAUUUAAAUUUCUUCCCAUAGAGUAGUCCUAGGAUGUCAUAUUUUGUAGGUUUUUGUGAUCUGUUUCCUUUUCUUUUCUUCCUGGCAAAGUGGCAUUUCCAGAGAAAAUAGCUUGCUCAUGAGCCUGCUCUCAAGAAUCCGUUAGAUCUAAUGGUAAUGAGGCCUCGAACCUGCACAAGGUGUUGGCUUUUCCUUACCUACAGUCUGAGUGAGGACGGUAUAAUACAAUGAAAACUAAACGGACCUGUUCAUGUUUUUAAGUCCAAUUUGCUGAUGAAGGGCAUGUUGAGGGUGAUGGCUGGAGUAAUAAAAUGGAAGAUUGGCAUCACGAUUUUCUUACACUGCCAUCUCUCUUGCAGAAAUUCUCCAUUUGCCCAUUGUUGACAGAUCUCUAAUGUGUUGCAGGACAACAAAUGUAUAUGUAAUAGAAGUGUUAGUUAAUGGGAAUGACCUGUACAGUUCCAAUUUUGAAUGAUAGUCUCCACUUCCUUUAUGCUUAUUUUAAAAUUCCCUGGACACAGAUUGAUUAAAGGCAAGGACCCAUAUGAAUUUAUGAAAAAUUUAUGGAAUUUUGAAAGAACCUUAACAUGGACCAUUUAAAAACUAAUAAUUUCCUGGCUGUCAUUAUUUUCUUUUCCUUUCUUUGCAUCACUAAAUCUUUCUUACAUUGGGAAUACAUGCUUAAUAAUCAAAAAUUGAUGCUGUGAAUUAAAGAAUAAAUAUGUCACUGGAUAAAAUAAAACAACAACAACAACAGAAAAUAAAUUAGAUUUGUAUGAUUUUAACUGUUCUUUAAUCUGCUUCUGGGCAACAAAAGUGAUUUGUGUCAGCCUUUAUUGCAUUAAACUUUAAUUUUCUUCCACAAGAACAGGAUUAUAUAAAGGAGUAUUGGAUUGCACUCAGCAUGGAUUAGCU